rnacentral:miRNA from 1 species
UCACCGGGUGAAAAAUCACCUA